rnacentral:rRNA from 1 species
CCUACGGGCGGCAGCAGUGGGGAAUAUUGGACAAUGGGGGGAACCCUGAUCCAGCCAUGCCGCGUGUGUGAAGAAGGCCCUCGGUUUGUAAAGCACUUUCAGUGAGGAAGAACGCCUGGUGGUUAAUACCCAUCAGGAAAGACAUCACUCACAGAAGAAGCACCGGCUAACUCCGUGCCAGCAGCCGCGGUAAUACGGAGGGUGCGAGCGUUAAUCGGAAUUACUGGGCGUAAAGCGCGCGUAGGUGGCUUGAUAAGCCGGUUGUGAAAGCCCCGGGCUCAACCUGGGAACGGCAUCCGGAACUGUCAAGCUAGAGUGCAGGAGAGGAAGGUAGAAUUCCCGGUGUAGCGGUGAAAUGCGUAGAGAUCGGGAGGAAUACCAGUGGCGAAGGCGGCCUUCUGGACUGACACUGACACUGAGGUGCGAAAGCGUGGGUAGCAAACAGGAUUAGAUACCCUUGUAGUC